UAAGAAACACAGGACCUAUAAUCAUUUAGUUUCACACAGAUUGAAGAAGCCUAAGGACAUCUAGAGCAGAACCCUAUUCUUCAGACUCUGCUUCACAUAUAAAAUUUCUGGAUAGCAAUUUUCAACCAAAUUUUUGAUAGCUGUUCUUUUUUUGCCUUUGAUAUGUAGCAGGAUGCUCUGCCUAAGUGGAGAUAAAACAGCCUGAACUUUACCAUAUUUGCAAAAGUUAUUGAUUAUAGAUGGAAAGAAGGGGUUACACUCCUCAUGUUGUUAAAGAACACUGAGGCCAGCCUGACACAUCAGUCCCAAAGCUAAAUAUUCUGAAGAUGUGAAGAACAUUUCCCUACAGAAACUCAUACGGAGCAGCUGCUUUAACCUGCAUUUGUUUCCCUUGCUCAGUGGUCUUGCCAAACAUGUUACACUCCUGUCUUGCAAUUUAAGUGAUGAGAAGCCAGAACAUUCAAUACAGGAAGAUAAGAAUUUGAUCAAAAGUGAGAAGUAUAGAUUAGGUACAGAGAAUGCUGAGACUUUAAGUGGACUUUGGUUAUAGUGGUUUAAAACAACUGCACCAGAUUCAUCAUAAAUACUGAAUAUGUGAGUAUAUGAAGAAAGUAUUUAAGCAGGCUGAAAAAGGGAAUGGUAAUGAAUGAC